rnacentral:ribozyme from 1 species
AGGUCCUUUGCUUGGCCCAAAAACUGCAGCUAUGGGCCUAUGAAAUCAAGGAGCGCAUCGAGAGAAAAACCAAAAGCCGCGUUCGAUCCAGACCUGCAGCAACGGCUG